GGUGUGACUCUUCCCUAGCUAGAGGACUCUUCUUUGGUGGGAAGGAUAGCAUCUCCUGAGAACCCCUGCUGUAUGAGCAGGCUAACAUAAAUGGUGAAUGAGGAACACAGAGUGGUUUUCCAGAUGGGAAUCACAUUGCUCUCUGUCCCUGAGAUCUUUCUGGAGGCAGGGCUACUCAGUCCCUCUUUGGCAGAUUGAUAUUGGAAAAGCAGUUUCCCAUUGAAUCUCAAAUGAAGAGAGAGUGAAGAUGAAAAGGAAGUAGGAUUCACAAGCCCUUGACCCUCAUACUAGACCCAUUACCACCAACAAUACCUUGCACUGGGAUUUCAUCUGCACCAUCAGCUUCUUCAAAGAGAGAGAGGUUGUUGACUCUUCAUGCGGAUGUCUGAGCUCAUAUCAGGUCUGAAGAAGGCAGAUUCUGAGGAUUUGAGUCAUGAUGGCUGCCAAAGCUUCUACUCCUGAUUUAAAGGGCAACAAUCCUAGGAGACCAGCAGCACUUACAUCCCUGGUAGGAUAUGACACCUGUGUAUGGUCCAGAAGUGACAAAAGAUAAUUAUCAAGAUGGCAGUCCUUAUAACCAGAUGCUUAUCAACAUUCUUCACUACAUUCUGAAGAUGAAUUUCUACAAGGGAAAUUGUUGAUGGGCUUGAUGAAAACCUCAUACUGUCUGCUGUUCAGGACACUGGAGCGAGAGAGACCAGAGAUUUCUCUGCAUCUUGGUGCCAGACCCAACCAGUG